GUCGAGCUGAGUGAUGAAAAGGACCAGCCCCGUGAAGGUCCAGGGGAGGUGUGUUCCAGGCGAAGAGACCAGCUGGAGCUAGUUGGAGGGAUGAGCAGCUGGCAGUGGGCGUCUGCAGGAAAACCAUUCUCUCUUCGAACAAUCUGAAGUCUCUGGAGUAUCGACAAGAUGCCUCUAGGCCUGUGCUGUCCAAGGCCGUAGCCACCUGUGGCCUUCCAACACUUGAAAAUGAAGCUGGUCAAAUUUGAAAAAUGCCAUUUGACUCGUAACAGACUUUGAAGGCUUCGUAUGAAAGAAAGAAAGUAAAAUAUUGCAGUAGUUUUUCUAUUGAUGAUACGCUGAAAGGAUCACACUUUGGACAUACUGGGUUAAAG
rnacentral:lncRNA from 1 species